GACGAACGCUGGCGGCGUGCUUAACACAUGCAAGUCGAGCGGUAAGGCCCUUUCGGGGGUACGACGAGCGGCGAACGGGUGAGUAACACGUGGGUGACCUGCCCUUACGCUCUGGGAUAAGCCUGGGAAACGUAGGGUCGUAAUACCGGAUAUGACUCCAUAACGCAUGUUGUGGGGUGGAAAGCCUUGUGCGGCUAGGGAUGGGCCCGCGGCCUAUCAGCUUGUUGGUGGGGUGAUGGCCUACCAAGGCGACGACGGGUAGCCGGCCUGAGAGGGCGACCGGCCACACUGGGACUGAGACACGGCCCAGACUCCUACGGGAGGCAGCAGUGGGGAAUCUUGCGCAAUGGGCGAAAGCCUGACGCAGCGACGCCGCGUGGGGAUGACGGCCUGG
rnacentral:rRNA from 1 species